GAUAUUUGUGCUAUGUACACGAAUUAACAUAUUUUUGCACAUAAUAUUUUUAAACCAAAGCUGCAGUGUGUUAUUUUUGGGCCCGGCCCACACACUGCUUCUUUUGAGAGAUUUAUCAUGCACCGCGAUCCUAAGUAGAACAACCAUUAUCUAAAAAAGCCAAAUAGGGAGUGGGCCUGUUUUUCUUUUCUUUUCUUUUUGGAAAGUGAUGACAGGAAGAUUGUCUUCGCCUGUGGACUGGAGGUGUGUUUGCUUUCACACUGCUCCAGAGAACAUAAGCAGAGACGCUAUCUCCAUUCCCAUCUGAUCUGGCCAGGUAGAGCAGCAGUAGCAUUGGCAGGCAAAGAUUCCUUUAGACCAAAUGGAGUUGAGCAGGAGAUCCUCGCGUUCACAACAACAACAAAAAAGAUCCCCGGAGUGUUCAGGUUUUGAGUCCAUCUUGGGUUGGAGCGUCAUCAACAUACCCACUUGCUCGAGGUGAAUCCUCUGGAGGACCUCCUGCUGUUUUCUCACAUCGACUCGUUUGGACUCCUGAGUUUAUACCAGGGUUAUGGCAGGAGAAACGCCCGCAGAAAGUCGGGAGCGUCUCACACGGACAUGUCCAUUCUCACAUACAUCCCCUUCAGAGAAAGUCAGGAGAUUACCGGAGAUCAGUGCAUGUCUGAAAGCUUUAUCUUGUAAUGUUUAAUAUUCUUGACGAAUACAACAAUAAAAGUCAAAGCUCAGGUAUAGAAACUGUCCAAACUCCAACAACCUAGCAACUGUCGAGCAUUGCAACAGACAGUUUGGUGCAUGGAAACACCUUUUUCUACAAACAAACAAAUGAGAAAUAUAGAAAUGUCCUAUUUGAAAUUGCCCAAUGCUUCACUGCAUCACUCAUAGUAAAAGGAUAAGUCAGAUAAUGGGUUCUGGGGGCCUUGUAAGAGCUUAAUCAACUGAACACUCACAGAGCGCUGCAUUCCCGAACACAUGAAUUUCCUCACGAGUGAUCUCUCAAAUCACUGAGGAAACGCCAAGGAUGGAAGCUACGGAGGGAAACACGAGCAACAAAAAGAGAACACUGUUAUUAAUAUAAAUGUGUGUUUUUGAAUCUGACAUGACAAUAGAUAAUCAUUGAAGAAUAUUCACUUGAUUAUGUGGCCAUCUGUUCAGAUGAAGGCUGCGAGUCUAAAAAUACUUCAGUUCAGCAACCGUCCAAAUUGAGUCAAACCCGGACCAGUGUUCCCCGUAAGGGAAGGCAACAACUAUGACCUCAGUCUGUUAUUUUGGUAAUGGCUAAUUAGAAGGGGCUUGUUUCCGAUUAGCUCCUAAUGUUACUUACACAGACCAUUGCCUUGUUUCCGUGUAUAUUGAGUUAUCCCUCAGUGAACCCCUCUCGCUGGUGCACUGCUGGAAUAACUGGUUUGGUGCUUCCAAUCAGGCUGUUUAUUUUUGUCCUUGAUAAUGUAUGCAAUCAUGACACUGUCAGUCCAUUAUUCUUAUAUUCAAUCCCAGUUUUUGUCACCUUGUGUAUGUUUAACUAAUCACUUAACUGGGGAAGGGCCCUGAGACCCUCCCCAGAGAAACAACUGGUAUUUGGUUGAAUGGUUUUAAUUAUUCUAUGUAGAAAAGACUCGCUAAACUUUGGAGUGUAAUUUCUCUGCCUUCCUCU